rnacentral:rRNA from 1 species
UACGUAGGGUGCAAGCGUUAAUCGGAAUUACUGGGCGUAAAGCGUGCGCAGGCGGUUCGGAAAGAAAGAUGUGAAAUCCCAGGGCUCAACCUUGGAACUGCAUUUUUAACUACCGGACUAGAGUAUGUCAGAGGGAGGUGGAAUUCCACGUGUAGCAGUGAAAUGCGUAGAUAUGUGGAGGAACACCGAUGGCGAAGGCAGCCUCCUGGGAUAAUGACUGACGGCUCAUGCACGAAAGCGUGGGGGACCAAACGAGGAUUACGAA